UUUAAAGAGAUUGAAGAAGGAAGAAACGGUCCACCAGAUUUGCACUCCGACACGGUGGCUUCGUGUUGAGUGGCGUGUUGGGAUGAAGCUUUUGAGGAUUUGUGGUUAGAGUUAUGGAGGGUGGUUGGAGGGUGAUUCUGUUAUGGAGAGAGGUUGGAGAUUGAGAGUUUGGUUCGAAGAAGGUCAUGGGAGGAAUGAAGAGUUAGAGGAGGUUCUGCAGGGUGAUUAUUUAACAGGUUUUUUAUGUAGGUUUGUGAAAUGAAGAUUGCAGGGGGAUAGUUGAGAAGAAGAUGGAUUGAAGGAUGAUGAAGGGUGAGGUUCAAGAAGAGGUUAUGAGUUAGUUAGAGGUUGAAGAAGUUUUGCAGAGUGAAAAGAAAUUUGGAAGAAGUAUUGGUUAAAGGUUAGAGUAGUGAUUGGUUUUGCAGGGUUCUUAUUGGCAUUCAAUUGGAGGUUUUAGAUGAUUUGUUAUUCAGAAGGAGGGGAUUGUUCAAUUAGCAGUUAGAAGUUGUUUAAUUCUGUUAUGAGUUGGUUAUGACAGUUGGAGAAUGGAAGUUAUGAGGUUGAAGAGUUUUUUGUGAGGUUAUGAAGGAAGUUAAUUGGAAUUCGAUUAUAGGUUGGUUAGGAAGUUAGAAUUCGGUUUUGAUUUUGAACCGAAUUCUGUUUUGACUGUUAUGAGUCUGUUAUGGAACGGAUUGAAGUUGGUUAUGACAGUUGGUUCGAUUGGUGGUUUCGGUUAGUUUUCAUGGAUGCCUUUAAAGGAUCACUUGAUUGUCAUGAUAUCAUACUGAAGUAACUUGAGAUUGUGACUGGUGUCGAGGACUUGUGAGUUGGGAAUGGUGUGACUGAGACGACAACAACUUUGAUGCAUUGUGUUGCAGCUGUGGCGACAUUGGACAUUUUGGUUGCCAUAAUCAGUUCCAAGCUUUUCUAUAACAGGAAGUAUCUACUUGCACACUUCCUAGAAAAAUUGUGACAGAACUUCUCCCUAUUCAAACUUAACAAUCUUUGUUCCUUCCAAUGCUGGAGAAAAAAUAGUCCCUUCCAUUUGGUGCUUUGAACAGUGAAGAACAACGAUGAUCUGAGAGUGGCAACAAUCACAUGCGCAAGUCAUGUUUAAAGGAAAAUCACCUUAGUUAAUUAAUAUAGAAUGGCUUAUUUGUCUGGGAUUUGGGAUGAGACGAUAAAAAUAUCUUGGUGUGUUUUUGGUUCAUCGCAUUAGCUUUACAUGGAUGCUUGAGUUUUUGUAAUUUUGUAGUUUGGAUCGAAAUUAUACAUUGAAACUUGGGUGUGGAAAUAGAUCGGUUAUAUUUUACAAUGGUAAUUGAAUUGGAAAUGGUUGUUGAUAUAAGUCGAUUUGAAUGGAAUUUGGGAUCAUUUUGUAGUAUGAGUUUGGUUUAUGUAAAUAUGUUUUGAAA